UACGGAGGGGGCUAGCGUUGUUCGGAAUUACUGGGCGUAAAGCGCACGUAGGCGGCUUUGUAAGUUAGAGGUGAAAGCCCGGGGCUCAACUCCGGAAUUGCCUUUAAGACUGCAUCGCUCGAAUUGUGGAGAGGUAAGUGGAAUCCCGAGUGUAGAGGUGAAAUUCGUAGAUAUUCGGAAGAACACCAGUGGCGAAGGCGACUUACUGGACACAUAUUGACGCUGAGGUGCGAAAGCGUGGGGAGCAAACAGG
rnacentral:rRNA from 1 species